UACAGGGGGGGCAAGCGUUGUUCGGAAUUACUGGGCGUAAAGGGUUCGUAGGUGGCUUACUAAGUCAAACGUGAAAUCCCUCAGCUUAACUGGGGAACUGCGUCUGAUACUGGAAAGCUUGAGUGCAGGAGAGGAACGCGGAAUUCCAGGUGUAGCGGUGAAAUGCGUAGAUAUCUGGAGGAACACCGGUGGCGAAGGCGGCGUUCUGGACUGCAACUGACACUGAUGGACGAAAGCCAGGGGAGCAAACGGG
rnacentral:rRNA from 1 species